UUUUUUUUUUUUUUUUUUUUUUUUUUUUUUUUUUUUUUUUUUUUUUUUAAUAAUGAGAUAUUGGUAACAA
rnacentral:ribozyme from 13 species